rnacentral:rRNA from 1 species
GACGAACGCUGGCGGCGUGCCUAAUACAUGCAAGUGGGACGCAAGGAAACACACUGUGCUUGCACACCGUGUUUUCUUGAGUCGCGAACGGGUGAGUAACGCGUAGGUAACCUGCCUAUUAGCGGGGGAUAACUAUUGGAAACGAUAGCUAAUACCGCAUAAUAUUAAUUAUUGCAUGAUAAUUGAUUGAAAGAUGCAAGCGCAUCACUAGUAGAUGGACCUGCGUUGUAUUAGCUAGUUGGUAAGGUAGGAGCUUACCAAGGCGACGAUACAUAGCCGACCUGAGAGGGUGAUCGGCCACACUGGGACUGAGACACGGCCCAGACUCCUACGGGAGGCAGCAGUAGGGAAUCUUCGGCAAUGGACGAAAGUCUGACCGAGCAACGCCGCGUGAGUGAAGAAGGUUUUCGGAUCGUAAAGCUCUGUUGUAAGUCAAGAACGUGUGUGAGAGUGGAAAGUUCACACAGUGACGGAGCUACCAG